rnacentral:sRNA from 1 species
UGGCAGCAGGGACCUCAUCUGGCUCCCCAGACCGAGGAAAGUGGGUUUUAGUUCUCGUCUGUAUCUUGCAACUCAUAACCUGUCAGCAGGACGGUGCGUGCGCCCAAGCUCCAGAGGCCAUCGUCAACUCGUUGCUGGCAGCUGGCGGGCGGACUACUCGAGCGGACUGGAGACCCUGUGCCGCUUGGCCCACGAGCUAAGGGUGGAGAAACAGAGAGAAACAAAAUGCUGAACAGACAGCAGCUGGCCAUUCGUUGAUUCCAUUAUUUAUUGUGGAGCGAGAAAAAAAAGGCCUUGAUCAGAACUUCAGAAGUCUUCAGUCAGGUUCAAAGGACUUGUUACUGAAGGCUAGUGUGCCUGGUCGGCUCUGGCUUUGCUCCCGGGCCACAGAUGGACUCUGGAGGAUUUUAAUUUUCAUGAUUUCCAUACUAUUCUCAUUUGGAAGCCAAACGAGGGAAAGGAC